AUUGAACGCUGGCGGCAGGCCUAACACAUGCAAGUCGAACGAGUGGCGGACGGGUGAGUAAUGUCUGGGAAACUGCCUGAUGGAGGGGGAUAACUACUGGAAACGGUAGCUAAUACCGCAUACCAUCGGAUGUGCCCAAGUGGGAUUAGCUAGUAGGGGGGGUAACGGCUCACCUAGGCGACGAUCCCUAGCUGGUCUGAGAGGAUGACCAGCCACACGGAAACUGAGCCACGGUCCAGCAUCCUACGGGAGGCAGCAGUGGGGAAUAUUGCACAAUGGGCGCAAGCCUGAUGCAGCCAUGCCGCGUGUAUGAAGAAGGCCUUCGGGUUGUAAAGUACUUUCAGCGGGGAGGCGUUACCCGCAGAAGAAGCACCGGCUAACUCCGUGCCAGCCGCCGCGGUAAUAC
rnacentral:rRNA from 1 species